rnacentral:rRNA from 1 species
AUGUGUGCUCAAACCUCAUUGUCAAAUCCUGUUCUUGCCUGAUGUCUGAAGCUAAGCAGGGCCAGGCCUGGUUAGUACUUGGAUGGGAGACUGGGGAAUAUCAAGUGGCACAGUA